CAGCAGCCGCGGUAAAACGUAGGGUCCGAGCGUUGUCCGGAAUUGCCGGGCGUAAAGAGCUCGUAGGUGGUUUGUCGCGUUGUUCGUGAAAACUCACAGCUCAACUGUGGGCGUGCGGGCGAUACGGGCAGACUAGAGUACUGCAGGGGAGACUGGAAUUCCUGGUGUAGCGGUGGAAUGCGCAGAUAUCAGGAGGAACACCGGUGGCGAAGGCGGGUCUCUGGGCAGUAACUGACGCUGAGGAGCGAAAGCGUGGGGAGCGAACAGGAUUAGAUACCCCCGUAGUCCCUGUCUCUUAUAC
rnacentral:rRNA from 1 species